rnacentral:rRNA from 1 species
UACGGGGGGGGCAAGCGUUGUUCGGAAUUACUGGGCGUAAAGGGUUUGUAGGUGGCCGGCUAAGUCAGACGUGAAAUCCCUCAGCUUAACUGGGGAACUGCGUCUGAAACUGAUCGGCUCGAGUGCAGGAGAGGAACGCGGAAUUCCAGGUGUAGCGGUGAAAUGCGUAGAUAUCUGGAGGAACACCGGUGGCGAAGGCGGCGUUCUGGACAGUUCCUGACACUGAGGCACGAAGGCCAGGGGAGCAAACGGG